rnacentral:rRNA from 1 species
ACGAACUUGGAGAUAGCUGGUUACUCAAGAAAAGAAUCUUAGUUCAACCUAAAGCUUUCGCAAUCCCUCAAGAUAACCUUAAAGCUUAAGAGAAAUUCAAAUAAGGUACAGCCUAUUUGAAAAAGGAUACAACCUUCACUAACGGGUAACCUCAUUUAUUUAACUUAGUUGGCCUAAGAGCAGCCACCAUCUAAAAGCGUCAAAGCUUAAUCACGCAUUCUAUAAAUACCUUAACUAAUACCCAACCCUUACACAGUACUGAGUACUUCUAUGCCUUCAUAGAAAAUUUUAUGUUAAAACUAGUAAUAAGAAGCCCAUCUUCUCUCAAUGCAAGUGUAAAUCAGGCAGAAACUCGCACUGAUAAUCAACGACCAUUUAGUAGCAACUUCACAAGAAAACCCUACUUUACUCCCCGUGAACCUAACACAAGAGCAUUUAAAGAAAGAUCCAAAAAAAGAGAAGGAACUCGGCAAACUCUAAUCCCGCCUGUUUACCAAAAACAUCGCCACUUGAAUCUAUAAGAGGUCCAGCCUGCCCAGUGACUCUGUUCAACGGCCGCGGUAUCCUGACCGCGCGAAGGUAGCGUAAUCACUUGUCUUUUAAAUAAAGACUAGUAUGAAAGGCACCACGAGGAUUAAACUGUCUCCUCUUUCCAAUCAAUGAAACUAAUCUCCCCGUGAAGAAGCGGGGAUCCCUAUAUUAGACGAGAAGACCCUAUGGAGCUUAAAACAAACUACAUCCGCCACACCACUUCCCCCCCCCGGACUCAACCUUGUGGCACUUUGUCUGUGAGUUUUAGGUUGGGGCGACCGCGGAGAAUAAAACAUCCUCCAUGCUGAAACAGACCACUCCUAAACAAAAAGUCACAGCUUUUUAAAUCAAUAAAUUGACACCUAUUGACCCAGUAUUCUGAUCAACGAACCAAGUUACCCUAGGGAUAACAGCGCAAUCUACUUCAAGAGCCCCUAUCGACAAGUAGGCUUACGACCUCGAUGUUGGAUCAGGGGAUCCUAGUGGUGCAGCAGCUACUAAAGGUUCGUUUGUUCAACGAUUAAACCCCUACGU